rnacentral:rRNA from 1 species
GAUAUGCUAUAGAACACCAAUUGCGAAGUCAGCUUUGCUUAACUAUUAACUGACGCUGAGGGCACGAAAGCGUGGGGAGCGAACAGGAUUAGAUACCCUGGUAGUCCACGCCGUAAACUAUGAACACUCGCUGUUGGCAAUACACAGUCAGCGGCUGAGCGAAAGCGUUAAGUGUUCCACCUGGGAAGUACGAUCGCAAGGUUGAAACUCAAAGGAAUUGACGGGGGCCCGCACAAGCGGAGGAGCAUGUGGUUUAAUUCGAUGAUACGCGAGGAACCUUACCUGGGCUUAAAUGUAUAUUGACGUACUGAGAAAUCAGUAUUUCUUCGGACAAUUUACAAGGUGCUGCAUGGUUGUCGUCAGCUCGUGCCGUGAGGUGUCGGGUUAAGUCCCAUAACGAGCGCAACCCCUACUUCUAGUUACCAGCAUUUCGGAUGGGGACUCUAGAGGAACUGCCUACGCAAGUAGAGAGGAAGGUGGGGAUGACGUCAAAUCAGCACGGCCCUUAUGUCCAGGGCUACACACGUGCUACAAUGGCCGGUACAGAGGGCAGCUACAUAGCAAUAUGAUGCUAAUCCCAAAAGCCGGUCUCAGUCCGGAUUGGAGUCUGCAACUCGACUCUAUGAAGCUGGAUUCGCUAGUAAUCGCACAUCAGCAAUGGUGCGGUGAAUACGUUCCCGGGCNUUGUACACACCGCCCGUCAAGCCAUGGAAGUUGGGGGUACCUGAAGUCGAUUGCCGUAAGGCGUUGCCUAGGGUAAAACCAAUGA